rnacentral:rRNA from 1 species
UACGAAGGGUGCAAACGUUGCUCGGAAUUAUUGGGCGUAAAGCGCACGUAGGCGGCUUUGCAAGUCCGAUGUGAAAUCCCACGGCUCAACCAUGGAAGUGCAUCGGAAACUGCAGAGCUUGAGUACAAAAGAGGAUCGCGGAAUUCCCGGUGUAGAGGUGAAAUUCGUAGAUAUCGGGAGGAACACCAGUGGCGAAGGCGACUACCUGGCCUGUUCUUGACGCUGAGGCGCGAAAGCUAGGGGAGCAAACGGG